rnacentral:rRNA from 1 species
CCAGACUCCUACGGGAGGCAGCAGUUAGGAAUAUUCGUCAAUGGGGGAAACCCUGAACGAGCAAUGCCGCGUGAAGGAUGGCGGUCCUAUGGAUUGUAAACUUCUGUUGUUAGGGAAGAACGACCUAAGUGGGAAAUGACUUAGGAGUGACGGUACCUUUCAAGAAAGCUCCGGCUAACUACGUGCCAGCAGCCGCGGUAAUACGUAGGGAGCGAGCGUUAUCCGGAUUUAUUGGGUGUAAAGGGUGCGUAGGCGGCUUCUUAAGUCUGUAGUCUAAGCCCGGAGCUUAACUCCGGUUCGCUACAGAAACUGAUUAGCUUGAGUAUGGUAGAGGCAAGUGGAAUUUCUAGUGUAGCGGUUAAAUGCGUAGAUAUCGCGCAGAACUCCGAUUGCGAAGGCAGCAUGCCGGCUCCACACUGACGCUGAGGCACGAAAGCGUGGGUAUCGAACAGGAUUAGAUACCCUCGUAUAG